GAAAAACAAGUUUCUCAAUCUCAGGUACUAUCACAUCAUGUGCUUUUGCUUUUCAGUAUGCAUUGACCUUUUGGAUCACCCAAAUGGCAAUCUUCUAAUGUAGCAUGAUGCACUAUUCUGGUGGAUAUGAUGGGCAUCAUGAAUUUCUCUGUGGUGCAUACACAUAUAUAUUCUUAAGUCCUUUGUUUAUAAUUCUUAAAUGUUGGUUGGAAAUUCUUUUUUAGGCUGAUG
rnacentral:misc_RNA from 1 species